rnacentral:rRNA from 1 species
UCCUACGGGAGGCAGCAGUAGGGAAUCUUCCACAAUGGGCGAAAGCCUGAUGGAGCGACACCGCGUGAAGGAUGAAGGCCUAUGGGUCGUAAACUUCUUUUAUAGGGGCAGAACAAAUGACGGUACCCUAUGAAUAAGCACCGGCUAAUCUCGUGCCAGCAGCCGCGGUAAUA